GAUGAACGCUAGCUACAGGCUUAACACAUGCAAGUCGCGGGGCAGCAUGGGGGUUGCUUGCCACUCCUGAUGGCGACCGGCGCACGGGUGAGUAACGCGUAUCCAACCUGCCCUUCACCACGGGAUAACCCGGCGAAAGUCGGACUACUACCGUAUGUUGUCCAUUGACGGCAUCCGAUUUGGACGCAGGCCUUCGCGGAGUAAGGAUGGGGAUGCCUCCGAUUAGCUUGACGGCGGGGGAACCGCCCAACGAGGGUACGAACGGUAGGGGUUCUGAGAGGAAGGUCCCCCACACUGGAACUGAGACACGGUCCAGACUCCUACGGGAGGCAGCAGUGAGGAAUAUUGGUCAAUGGGCGUAAGCCUGAACCAGCCAAGUAGCGUGCAGGAGGACGGCCCUAUGGGUUGUAAACUGCUUUUAUGCGGGGAUAAAGUGGCCCACGUGUGGGCUUUUGCAGGUACCGCAUGAAUAAGGACCGGCUAAUUCCGUG
rnacentral:rRNA from 1 species